CAUGAUUGGAUUUUAAUAGAAUUUACAUGAGGUCUUACUUAUGUUCAUGUUACAACAUUAGGGAGUUUGGGCUGAUUGUGCAAACUGAAAGGCAGAGCUGUCUGUCUUGAUAGAUGUGUGAGAAAGCCAGCCCUGUGUCUGCAGAGGAGAAGCUAGUACAACCACUUCGUGAGUAAAGAGGCAACAGUGAAUCACUCCCCCAGCAAAAGAACAGCCUCUGAUUUGUCGGUUCUUCUUGAACAACCCCUUUGAAUCAGAUGCUCUGAAGGAGGAGGAAAAGGAGGACCAGGCAGAUUGUGUUGUUUCUCCAUGGGUGGGGAUGAUCUUGCCCUAAGUGAAAACAAGUACAUCACGGAAGUCACCACAUGGAUUGUAAACCUGUCAGUACACCCAGAACUUCUGUGCUUCACUUUUACUGCUUUGUAAUAAUGUUAAUAAAAUAUUCAGGCAAAGGCUACAGAAAAAAGUACACAAGAAUAAGUAGGUCAGGUUUGUAAUAAAUUCCAACUGAGAUUCAGGGUUUCAUGUACAUUUAACGCUAGAUCUUCCAGUCA